rnacentral:rRNA from 1 species
UACGGAGGAUCCAAGCGUUAUUCGGAUUUAUUGGGUUUAAAGGGUGCGUAGGUGGCCUGUUAAGUCAGGGGUGAAAGCCGGUAGCUCAACUAUCGCAGUGCCUUUGAUACUGAUGGGCUUGAAUACACUUGAGGUAGGCGGAAUGUGGCAAGUAGCGGUGAAAUGCGUAGAUAUGUCGCAGAACACCAAUUGCGAAGGCAGCUUACUGAAGUGUGAUUGACACUGAGGCACGAAAGCGUGGGGAUCAAACAGG